rnacentral:rRNA from 1 species
CCUACGGGUGGCAGCAGUGAGGAAUAUUGGUCAAUGGACGAGAGUCUGAACCAGCCAAGUAGCGUGAAGGAUGACUGCCCUAUGGGUUGUAAACUUCUUUUAUAUGGGAAUAAAAUGCUGUAUGUGUGCUACUUUGCAUGUACCUUAUGAAUAAGGAUCGGCUAACUCCGUGCCAGCAGCCGCGGUAAUCCGGAGGAUCCGAGCGUUAUCCGGAUUUAUUGGGUUUAAAGGGAGCGUAGGCGGAUUGUUAAGUCAGUUGUGAAAGUUUGCGGCUCAACCGUAAAAUUGCAGUUGAAACUGGCAUUCUUGAGUACAGUAGAGGUAGGCGGAAUUCGUGGUGUAGCGGUGAAAUGCUUAGAUAUCACGAAGAACUCCGAUUGUGAAGGCAGCUCGCUGGACUGCAACUGACACUGAGGCUCGAAAGUGUGGGUAUCAAACAGGAUUAGAUACCCCUGUAGUC